rnacentral:rRNA from 1 species
AGCGAACGCUGGCGGCAGGCCUAACACAUGCAAGUCGAACGAACCUUUCGGGGUUAGUGGCGGACGGGUGAGUAACACGUGGGAACGUGCCUUUAGGUUCGGAAUAACGCAGGGAAACUUGUGCUAAUACCGAAUGUGCCCUUCGGGGGAAAGAUUAAUCGCCUUUAGAGCGGCCCGCGUCUGAUUAGCUAGUUGGUUGAGGUAAUGGCUCACCAAGGCGACGAUCAGUAGCUGGUCUGAGAGGAUGAUCAGCCACAUUGGGACUGAGACACGGCCCAAACUCGUACGGGAGGCAGCAGUGGGGAAUCUUGCGCAAUGGGGGAAAGCCUGACGCAGCCAUGCCGCGUGAAUGAUGAAGGUCUUAGGAGUGUAAAAUUCUUUCACCGGGGACGAUAAUGACGGUACCAGGAGAAGAAGCCCCGGCUAACUUCGUG